AUGAUCGAGGUUGUUUGCAACGACCGUCUGGGGAAAAAGGUCCACGUUAAAUGCAACACGGAUGAUACCAUCGGGGACCUUAAGAAGCUGAUUGCAGCCUAAACUGGCACCCGUUGGAACAAGAUUGUCCUGAAGAAGUGGUACACAAUUUUUAAGGACCAUGUGUCUCUGGGGGACUAUGAAAUCCACAAUGGGAUGAACCUGGAGCUUUAUUAUCAA
rnacentral:lncRNA from 1 species